GUAGGGAAGUGGAAAAGUGGAGCCUGCACCGCCCGCUCUCGGCACCCCCGGACACCGCCCCGGUCUCACGCAUGCGCAGAGGGCCGAUCCAGUUCUUUCCGGCUGGAAUGGGGAAUUUGUGAGGUCAAGGAUGCAUUCCAGGAAAGUUCUAUAAAAAUAUACCAUCAACUCCAACCUGAUAUUUGACCUAGCCAUGGAAAACCUCAUUGGCUCCUCACUGGAUCAGACCAUAAAAAUGAUCCAGGAAUGAAAAUCUAAGAUAAAUUCCCACCACUUCAAGAUGUUCUUAUACAAGUCAACAGUCUAGCAGAUCAGCCAGUCUCUUUCAUCAUCAAGCAGACAUACUCAAGAAAGAGGAAUAGUGAAGUGAAAUACACAGAAGCAUGUUCAAGUUCAUCUGUUGAAUCUGGAAUUGUGAAUAGUGACAAUAUUGAGAAAAAUACUGACUCCAAUCUGCAAACUUCAACUUCAUUUGAGCCACAUUUCAAAAAGAAAAAAGUAAGUGCAAGACGUUAUAAUGAAGAUUACUUAAAAUAUGGCUUUAUCAAAUGUGAAAAACCCUUUGAAAAUGACAGACCUCAGUGUGUUAUUUGUAAUAAUAUUCUUGCGAAUGAAAGCUUAAAACCUUCGAAAUUAAAAAGGCACUUAGAAACUCAGCAUGC
rnacentral:sRNA from 1 species